GGGCCUGUAGCUCAGCUGGUUAGAGCGCACGCCUGAUAAGCGUGAGGUCGAUGGUUCGAGUCCACCCAGGCCCACCA
rnacentral:tRNA from 1 species